UUCAAACAAAAAUAUACAAAAAGCUAUAUGUAGAAUAAAUAGGAAAUAAUAGAGAAAGAGUAGUAGAAUUAAGAUUGAUUGGGAAGGCUUUCUCUAGAAGGUGGGAUGUUAGAUGGGUCUUCAGGAGAUGGAGAUUAAGAGAGAAAGCAUUUUCAGGAAUAGGUGACAGCUGGAGAAAAUGAUAGGACCCAAAAUAUGAACUGUCUUGUUUUGGGAACAGCAAAGAAGCUGGAGUCACUGGACCAAAGAAUAUGUGCAGACUUCCCUGUGGAGUUGGCCGGCUACAAUCUCUUGUUUGGAGUUCUGGCUUCAAGAUUGCCAUGGCUCAAGCUUCUACGUCUAGGUGGGGACCAUUGCCUACAACAAACAAGAAAAAAUGGAAAUGGACACAAACACCCCCAGACCCAUUUCUCAGACAAGUUCUAGGUGCAGGUGGUGGUAGAGUGACUGGACCUGGGAGUUCAGACCUGAGGCUUGAGUCACAACAAACUUGAAGACAGGAUUCUAGGAUGGAUACAGCUGCCCAGCUGGGAAAUUCUAAGAAGCCAAAGUUCCAAGACUUGAGCCUAGAGAGGCUUUGAACUUGGAAUUUGGUGGAAUUAUGCUGUCACUGGUUCAAUUCUCUCUUUGGUUUUGGUUGUCAUACCUUUAAAAAAUGAUGCAAAAUAAAAUGAGGCAAGGCAAAUUACAAAAGAGAGAGAAUAUAGGUCCUUGUGAGAAAAAGUGAAAGAAAUGGGAAUAAUUUUGCAUGGGAGGAAAAAACCUUGAGAGAAGACUCAAUAACUGUCUUUAAAUAUAUAAUUUAUAAAAAAAAUAUCUUUAUGAAAGACACAUUAAUGUAGUGGGAAAUCCAUUAGAAUUGAGUUUAAAUCCCAGCUCCUCUACUGAUUGACUCUGUGACUUUGGAUAGGGAGGUCAGUGACUUUUUAGUCUCCAUUUCUUCAUCUGUAAAAAGAGGAUUUUUGAGGUUCUCCUACUAACCAAAUUGUACUGAAGAUCAAAUGACAUAAUGGAUGUGAAAGUGCUUUGUGACUUUAAAACAUUAUAUUAAGUAAGCUAUUAUUAUCCUCCAUGCCUUUGGAGGAUUGAAAAGAACUUAAAUUAAAGUAGGAGGGAUUUUGUUUGGACAUGUAGAAGAGAUACUGGAGGAAGUUAUGGAGUCUGUAUCCUAGGAGAUCUGGAAGAAGAAAAUAUACAACCAUUUAUGUUAUUUUCUGGGCUUGCCUUAUUCAUAGAUGGAAUAGGUAACUACUUCAUUGUAUAACCAAGGGCUUCUCCCUCAUCAGUUUUCUCCUUGCAGACCUUGACAACUUUUUCCUUCAGUAAAGAAUUUUUUAGUUAAUUCUCAUUAUCUACGUAAGACUUUAGCCUAGAUUCUAAUGUGAUCAAAAACCAUGCUGUGAAUCACAAAUCAAAUAAUAAAAUAAUUUUGACAAUAACUCUCAGUAAGUAAAUCAUUCUCAAUCUCUGACCCCUGCUCUACUCAAUUACAAAUGGCUGUAACUCCCUAUAUGAGCCCCAUUGGAAAAAUAAUUAUUCCCCAAACUCUUCUGGUUUUGGAAAACUAUCUUGCCUGUGAAUGGGUGAGUGGGGUAAGGAAAACAUCCUGUUUCUUGCGCAGCUUGCUCUCAGUAGUCAGCAUGGUAAUAUGUGGGGCAUGAUAUGUUUUAGCCUUGGCAAUGGGCCGUCAGUUUGUUCAACAUAGAAUUAAUCUCCUGGACUAAUUUUAAUUUCUGUAGCCCAAACCUGGCAGUUGUAGGCUUCUUUAUCAAAGGUCACUCUAAACACCAGAUUGUUCCAGGGAUUGGGGGAUUUCACCAACUCUUCGUUAAUUAAGCCUCCUUCCAGUGUCUCUUUCCUUCUUUAACUAAACUAGCACCACCUGGUUCCAUUCACAUUGUAUGUGAUUCUGAUAUCAUAGAUUUCCUCCACUGAAUCCACUGAAACUAAUCUUUCUGUCUCAGCCAUUUUUGACACAAAAUGGGCAGGCGUCCUAUUAAGCACAACCUCAUAUUCCUUAUUAUACUUCAUGUAAUUUUAGGGGUUCAGGAUAGAACAGUUUUUUCACUGAUCCUUCACCUGCUUGUUGAGGCCUAAAAUUCCAAUUACAACUUCAUUACUUUGGUUUAAUACUUUGUUACCUAUUUAAUAAGAGAUUAUUCUUUUCUGUGACUAUUUUCAGGUUUUUUCUCUAUGAAUUCAUUCAGAUAGGGAUGAGAAGACAGGGAGAGAGAAGCAAGGAAAUAGGUACUUAAGGUGUGUGGGUAGGAGGAGAUUGGGGAAAAGAUAUCCUUGGAGGUUUCAUGUCCCCAUUGUUUGGGAUUACUGAAGUCUAUUGAGUUCAUAGGCCUUUAUCACUGGGUUCAAAAAGCGUUCAUUCCCUAAAGGUAGAGAAGAUGCUUUUUCAAAGUUUCAUUCCAGUUCUAUGACACUAUAACUUUGAAAGGAAAAUGAUGAAGAAAUGCCUUAUUUUGCUCUGUUUACAAAUAGUCACUGGAAUGAACAAAUCACUGAUGUGGAAAUAUAAUAAAUACCUCCCCUUUUAUAAAAGUGACAAUAUUAAAAGAUAAUAUUUUUGGUGGUUUAAAAAGCCUUUUCCAGAGUUCUUAGAAGGGCCUUUGGAAAAGUAGAUUAUAAAUCAAGUGGAAAAAAAGUCUUUCAUUAAGAAGUUGAGUAAAGUUAUUAACUAAAGUUGAAUAAAAUGGACCUUUGAUCUUUAUCUGCUGAAAGUCAAGACCACCCAAGGAAAAUAUCCUUUAUUACAUUCAAAGAGAAGGACCCUCUUUUAGUUUGCAGAAAAUACUCUUCAUAUGGAGCUCUGGGAGGAGUCUCAAUGAACUCUUGAGGAGAGUAGUCCAGAAAGGAAUUACCCAUCUAUUUUGGAAUAUUAGCCUCAAACUGUAUUUUUUAUUGUGAUUAUCUUCUUUAAGAUUCCUACCAAUGUUACCUAAAAUAAUCUCAGAGUAUUUUGUCAGAGGGCAUGGGGAAACUAUGCUCUAGGGUCAUCUCUUAUUCUAAGCUAUUUUACUUAAUGAUAAAUUAAAUAAAAUUGGUUUUGGUAAACUUGUGUCUAAAAUACAUAGUAGAAAUCUUAGAAAAACAUGAAUAAACUUGCACUAAAUAAUGAAGAGUGAGAUGAGCAGAUUCUAGAGAAUGUUGUACACAAUAACAACAAUAUUGUUUUCAGAAUAAUUUUGAGUGAAUAAGUAAUUGUGACUAUAAGUAUCACAUUAAUUACAAAGAACACAUGAAGGAAGACAUUAUCUGCAUCCAGAGAAA